UUGCAUUCGUUUAAUUGCAUGUAACCCUGGGCUGCUAGAUGUUUGCUACUACGUAGUGCGGUCAUGACCUGCCUGAAUGCAAGCAUCUUGGGUCCCAGCAGGUUUUUCAUGGACAAAUUAAACACACAUCGAACUCCUUGUCUCACCAAAACAGAUGGAAUAAAGGUCUGUGCUCUUAAUCAGUUCUAGUGAAUUCAACAGAAACUACUUCCAAACAGACUUGCAUGAGGCCAAUCUGCAAAUGCGCUGAACUGUAGGUUGCAAAAUCAUAUACAUUAUCUUAAUCAUCCCUAUGACAGUUUCCUGUGGUAGGUGAGUCUUAUGGAAAAGGAAGCAAAAGAGGAAACCUACGUUGGCUUAAGCUUGUGUAGCACAAGGAAGCACAGUUUCUUGGAAUGAAAAGGGCAGAAAUCAUGGCUGUUUAGGGGUGUGUGUGGAAAAUAAAACAAGUUGACUGAUACACAAAGUUAAAUAAUUAGUGAAAUCACUACUCAGGGCAGUUUACAUAACAAAAACGUAAUAUUUGUGGCAAGCCUCCUGAACACACAAUGUCAUUUCAUUUCACCCAGGGUGGUCCUCUAAAGGUUUGAUGUCUCAUCAGCCGCAGCCAGCUUUCCAACAGAGAGGGCUACUGGAGGGUUACCAUUCAACUACAUCUGGAUUGGGCUGCCCUUACCUGUGCAUCUCUCAGAUCUGUACUCGUCUGUGUCGCCUGGAUCCUCUGCAUGUCUGCCAAACAGGACCAUGGACAGCUCACUGUAGUUUUUCCCAGGCCUGACAGCAAGAAUCAUUUCUCUAAGUAACAGUCACAUCAUUUCUCAGUGACUCUUGAAAUAUAAAAAGUCAUGCUCAGGAUUCAUAAAAUACAAUAUAUUUAUUAAGACUGAUUGAUAUUUAUGACACUGUACAGAAGCUGCAGAAGAUGUUACUUGGGAUUAAAAUCCACUUUCCUCAUCCAUUUCCGUAGUUUUACUCAAUUUAAAUUGAAUCUCAGGUGUCAGGUGAUCAACAUCCGGCCAGAAUGAUCUUGUGGUGUUUUCUACUUCUCUCAUUCCCCCCACUUUAACCCCACACUCUGGAAGGUUCAGCUUGAUACAGAACCCUGUAGGACCAGAAAGCUCACCUGUCUGUGAUGUUUCAAAUGGCUUAUGCUACCAUGCAAAGCCCUUAAUGGUUUAGGAUCUUGCUCCCUGUCUAAGUGCUUCUCCCUCAAACAUCUCCCCAUUCCAUCCAUACCUCACAUACUGGGAUGCUAUGGGUGAUGACCCCGAGGGAGGCCUGAAAAUCUGACACUAGAACCCGGGUCUUCUCAGUGGUUGCCGGAUCACUUUGGAACUCGCUCCUAUCUGAGGUACAAUUAAACCCAUCCCUCAUUGGUUUUAGGAGACUAAAACCUGACUCUCUUCACAAACUUUUAAUGGCCUUACUCCAGAGUAAUCUGACUGGAUAAUUGGGCUUCUUUCUCUCUCUUUCCCUUUGUGCUUGUGAACUUGUCAUAUUUUUGCCACCUAAUAUUAUUGUAUUCAGUGUUUACAACUAGU
rnacentral:lncRNA from 1 species